GUAUUUGUCUCUUAGGCACAAUCGGUUAGCACAUUCAGCUGUUAACCGAAAGGUCGGUGGUUCAAGUCCACCCAUGUACU